GGCAAGGUGACCGAGUGGUUAAGGUGAUGGACUCAAGUUUACUCUUGUACACUUUCCCUCCAAGAGGGCUUUUCCAUUGUGGCAACACGCAUGGGUUCGAAUCCCAUCCUUGUCA